AUUGUGCGCUGGUAGCAGGAGUGACGCGAGUUUUAUAACAGAAAACAUCAUGUUGAAACGUCCUAAACGUCUCCUGCCAUAGGAAGGAAGAGAAAAAAACUUCACAGAAAAAGAGAUAUAUUAUGGAGACAUCUACAUCCCACGCCUGGGCCUUCCGCAGCACCACAAAGUGCUCUUCCUGUUGCCUCUACCUCACAGGAGCUCAUCCAUGCAUCUGAAAUAAAGAGUGCACCAACAGACGCUGCUAACUUGCCAUAUCCUCAGCUUUUCCAACUUUCAACGCAGAACUUCUGAAGGAGUGAAACGGUGGGAAGCAGCACAUGGUAAAUCCCAGCCUGCCUCCUCACCUCCACUAAAAAAUUGCCUUAUCCAAACUGCCACUCCACCGCUCCCUGACGAAGUCGAAAAGCAGCACUCGUAACAUUGGAAGAUGCCAAUGUAAAUUGCAGAAGAAAGAGAACUACAAAGAUCUUCUUCCUUUCUGAAUCCCAGCUACCCCAGGCUACUGGCAAGUGCUGCCAAUUUAAAGAAGAAACUUUGUCUUAAUUGCUGUUCUCCCAUAAAGUAUUCCAAAUAUUUAGAGGUAAUAAAAGACCCAAAUUUAACAGCAAAAAAUUCUCUCAACAUGCUUGCUAAUUUGUAUCCUUGUUUUAACAAAAGGUUUUCUUUUUGUUAAAGGUUAGUAUUUUAAAUAUUUAUU